rnacentral:lncRNA from 1 species
UCCAUCUAAUUCUGGUAACCCAGGGCGGUGGGGAGGAGAUGGGAAAGGAUAAGGGGUUAGUCACUAGAUAUUAAUUAUGGUCAAAGAAGAGUAAGUGAUUGGCUAGCAAAUUUAUUUUGAUGGCUGACUGCACAAUCUGAACUAUACACCUUUGAAAAUGCAUUAGACUCUUGCGCUUGGAAGUUUAGAACUACUACAUUGUUGCUUUGUAAAUACAGGCAUGCUCACUUGCUGGUUUUAUUUUGGUGUGUAGGCAAAAGUUAAAACUGAACCACAAUCUCAGGUUUAGGGAUGCAAAUGGCAACUGAUCACAAAAUGAUUUAGAAACAAGUGCAACCCUGUAACUUUCAGCAAGAGAAAGAGAAGUACAGUUAGCUGUUUCAGAUUUAAAGAGACAAUUCCGUCUUUCACCGGAUGCAAAAUAUUUUUUUAUGUGCUCACUACUUGAAAAAAACUAACACAAGUUUACACCACCAGUGAAACAUCUUAGGCAUCACAUUGAUUUUGGUCGUAUAUCAUUAGGUAGGUAUCAGCCCCUGUUGUAGUCCUCCUAUUCCACUAUACAACAAACUCUCAAAAGAAAAACACAACACUUAUUUGUUUGCAUCAUCAAUUGGUAAAGCUUCCGGUGCCUAAACGUACUUAUGCUGCUGAAUAAGAAUAAUUUAUGUUGUUGUCCACAAUGUCAUGGUGCAGCAAAUCGUUUGCUGUAGGUGUGCAGAAAAGCAACAAGGCAAUAAGAGAUAAUGUGUUCUUCGUGGAAAUACAUAUGCUGAGACACCAAGGAUUCGUGGUCAUCCCUCUUCAACACUACCUACAAGAACAUUAGGAAGCGGAAAGGAGUGCAAUUACAAUCUCAGAAUCAGAAAUCCAAAAUUGCAAGUGUACAUGAGGGGGGGCGUAAAAAAUACUUAAUUUACUUGUCGUUCCUCCAGAUGCAAAGGAUCCAGCAGGAUAGCAAUAAAGAACGAUCUGUGAAUGUGAGAUUCAGGGGAGACACGGCGGCUGGACUGUCAGGACCCUGACAAGUUGUUCCUGUUAACUGAAGAACGAGACACUAGCUCUGAAGAAAUAGAAUUCAGUCUCUGGGAAUCGGACCGCUGGGAUCAAUUGGGCUAAAUGACCAUCGAUGGCUCUCCAGUUUCCUGUUCACCGUCAACUGUUGCCGCCACCAGCUAGACAGUAACAGUGACGGCAACGACUCCUUCGGUCCCACGCCUUCGUCACCUGCCUCCAACGAUAAAAGGCCCAGCCAGCAUUCUGGAAAAGCAUCUUUCCCCUUUCUCCAAGUGUAAUAGCUAGCUACCUUAAGAACCCUAGAGUACAUGGUAGAAAUUGGGCAGAUCCUCGAUCUGAACCCCUGUAUCUAUAACUCUGAAUUUCGAGAUAAUAUCAAGCGGGGCUAGUUCGAGUAAUUGUUGAGUUGUUGUUGUGUUGAGGUCCUAUCAAUUGGUAUCAUGAGCCAGUGAAUCCUCGGAGGCGAAUCGGAUCUGACUACGAACUGGGGUUGGGAUCUCUCAUAAAAUCCCCCAAAUUCAGUCUCGGAUCCCGACGACGGUGCAGACCAGCGGAUCAGAGGCGGCCUGGAGUAGGCAUCGAUCGGCUGCAGAUUGGGGAGAAACUCGGUUGCGGCCAGAACAAUUCCACUGUGGUAAAAUUCCGUAGCGUAUCCCCGGUUGGUGCAGCAUCAGAGGCGAGCGAAGUGGAGUUUUGGCGGCGGCAGGCAAAGGUCACCGGCGAGGGUUUCGGACUCGUUCCGCAGUGAAAUUCCGGAGCCGUGCAGAUCACCAUGCCAACCCGAACCAAGCACAUGGACGAGAUCUCAGAAGAGCUCGAAGCCUUGCAGACUGAGUUGACCGUGCUGGGCUUGAAGGAAGAUAAGAUGCAAGAUCAAAUCGAUCAGGUGAACACGCGCCUUCAGAUAGUUGAAUCCUUGGAAAAGCAAUUGGGAAAGGUUGAGCUCUUGGUCGAGAAUAAUUCCAAGGUACAGCAAGACAUCUUCGCCAUACUACGUGAAAUGCGAGCAGAGAAACCUCCCUCCCCUGUUCCCCAAGCGUCUGCUUCUUUGGUUGUUCAACCCAGCAUACAACCACAGACCCAACCGGAUCCAGGGGCCACAACAGCAAAUUCCACAGGAGAAACUCUUACCACGCCACAGGGACAGCAAACGCAACUGCUAAACAGUUUGACAGGCAGAAAUGUCAGUCAGCAAACUCCACCAGUAGUGAUUACUGCGAUGCAACACCAAACUGACAGAGCAAUGCAGUUUCUGAAGAGCAUUUCCAAAGGUCCUAAGAUAGAUUUCCCUACUUUCAGCGGGGAUAAUCCCUUGGGAUGGAUCAGACAAGUCAACAAAUAUUUUCAGCUGGCUCAAAUUCCUGAUGAGUGCAAAGUGGAUUUAGCAUUGACGUACAUUGUUGGGAGGGCUGAUAAUUGGGUCAGGAGUGCUAGAAUGGAAAAUAAUAGAUUACCAUGGCCAGAUUUUUGCCGAGCAUUAUGUGACAGGUUUGCAGAAUCUAGCAUUUAUGAAAUACUGGAAAAAUUCCAUAGCCUCAAACAGAACACUAUGUCAGUAGCUGCUUAUACUGAUAAGUUUGAGGAAGUAAUGGCAGUGGUUAGGGAUGAACAUCCAUACCUGCAAGAAAACUAUUAUAUAGUGAGCUUUGUCAAUGGACUUAAACCCAGCAUCCGAUGUAAUUUGAGACCACAAAGACCUACUACUCUAAGCCAGGCAUAUUGGCUUGCCAGAGACUAUGAAAGUGGACUGCAGGCAAAAUAUCUGUCUUACAUCAACCACCAAGAAAAACAGUCUCAAACUCACUCUGGACAGUCCAAAACUACUAUCCUGCCAGCUCCUAACUUACAAAUCCCUCCUCCAGCAGCAGCUAUAAGGAAACCAGGGGUUUGUUGGAGAUGCAAUGGACCUUGGGUUCCUGGUCAUAAGUGCAAACAAUCUCCUGCACUACAUGCCAUUGUUAGUGAGAAUGAACCUAAAGAUAUGUCACCUGAAGAAGAAGCACAAUUAGCAGUACUAACUGCAGAAUGGCAAUUUACAGAGCUAAUAGAUAAAUGUAUGCACAUCUCUGCACAAGCUGUAUCAGGGGACUCCUCUGAAUCCACUAUAGCAGUGAGCAUUUUUCUGGGAGGAAAAAAAGGAGUAGCCCUAAUAGAUACUGGGAGCACUAAUACAUUCAUUGAUCUCAAAUUUUCCCUGAAGGCUAAUUGCCAAUUGGUCAAUACCCCAACUCAAAAAGUGACAGUGGCUGGUGGUGGUUCUUUAAAUUCAGGAGCUGUUGCACCGAACACUAAUUUCAAAAUAUACAAUGAGGACUUCUCCAAUGAUCUAACAGUGUUAGAUUUCCAAGGCUAUGAUAUUGUUUUAGGGUGUGAUUUUCUGAAAAAGCACAGCCCUCUAUCAAUGGACUUUGAUGCAAGAACUGCCACUAUCAACAAGGACAAGACACAGUCUGUAACAUUUGCAGAUUGUACAGUGGCACAACCACCUAAGCUCAUUUCUGCAGAAAAAGCAGAGAAGUUAUGUUCACAGGGAGCAGUGGGUUUUGCAAUGAGUCUCCAAUUUAUGACCCAAGUCAGUAACUAUAGUUGCAUAUCUACCCAGCCUGAGCCAAAGAUUACAGAGGAACCCUUGCCAGUUUUGGAACAAUAUAAGGAAUUGUUCACAGAACCAACUAAUCUGCCACCCACCAGAGAAUGUGACCACACCAUUCCUCUUAAAGAAGAUACCACACCCCCCAAUGUGAGACCAUACAGAGUCCCUCAUUUACAGAAAAAUGAGAUGGAACAGCAAAUUCAACUGUUGCUUUCCAGGCACAUAAUUCAGCACAGCAUGAGCCCAUAUGCUUCUCCUGCUAUCCUUGUCAGAAAAAAAGGAGGAACUUGGAUACUUUGCAUAGACUACAGGAAAUUGAAUGCACAAACAGUUAAAAACAAGUUUCCUAUACCUGUCAUAGAGGACCUCCUAGAUGAGUUACAUGGAGCAGCUAUCUUCAGCAAAUUGGACUUGAGAUCUGGUUAUCAUCAAAUUAGAAUGAAAACUGAAGAUGUUCACAAAACUGCAUUUAGAACUUAUUCUGGACAUUUUGAGUUCUUGGUUAUGCCCUUUGGCCUCACCAAUGCACCUGCUACCUUCCAGGCCUUGAUGAACAAAAUCUUUGCACCCUAUUUGAGGAAAUUUGUGUUGGUAUUCUUUGAUGAUAUACUAAUUUUCAGUAAGACUCCAGAAGAACAUAAGGAACAUCUGGCCUUAGUAAUGGAAUUGCUCAAAAAACACCAGCUCUUUUUAAAUCAAGCAAAAUGCACCUUUGGUACUCCUACUGUGGAAUAUCUUGGACAUGUUCUUUCUGCUCAGGGGGUUGCUACAGACCCUGACAAAAUCUCAGCUAUAAAACAAUGGCCAAUACCAUCUACAACAACUGAAUUAAGAAGUUUCCUGGAUCUGGCAGGUUACUACAGAAGAUUUAUAAAGGACUGUGGCCUCAUUUGUAGACCACUCCAUGAUCUUCUAAAAAAGGAUGCAUUUCUAUGGCCCCCCUACAAACAGAAGCUUUUGAGAAAUUGAAGUUCAGUCUAUCACAUGCACCAGUGUUAGCAUUGCCUGAUUUCUCCAUUCCUUUUGAACUAGAGUGUGAUGCAUCUGGAGCUGGGAUUGGAGUUGUUCUCAUGCUAAAGCACAAACCAAUUGCUUACUACAGUAAGUCUCUAGGGCCCAAAGCAACUGCUCUAUCCACCUAUGAAAAAGAAGCCAUAGCAAUCUUGGAAUCCUUGAGGAAAUGGAGGCAUUAUUUCCUAGGUUCUUCCUUACUAAUUAAAACAGAUCACCAGAGCCUUAAGUUCAUCACAGAACAGCGAAUUUCUGAAGGAAUACAACAUAAGCUCAUGUUGAAGUUGGUUGAGUUUACUUAUACAAUUGAAUACAAGAAAGGUAAGGAGAACAAGGCUGAUGAUGCUCUGUCCAGGAAACCCCAAAUGAUGGCAAUCUCCAGUGUAGUGCCUAGCUGGACUGAAAAGCUAGAGCACUCCUACGGUUCUGAUGAGAGAUGCAAAACACUGAUAGCUCAACUUACCAGUGGGGCCAAUGAUCUUCCCCUGUACACCUAUACUGCUGGCAUUCUCAGGUAUAAGGACAGAAUUUAUGUUGGAACAAAUGAAGAAUUCAGACAUAAUCUGCUCCUUACUUUUCACUCAUCCCCAAUUGGAGGACAUUCUGGAAUUAGAGCCACCUACCAUAGAAUUAAAAGAAUUUUCUAUUGGCCUAAUCUUAAGUCUGCAGUGGAGCAAUUUAUUCAACAGUGCCCUGUCUGUCAGAGAGCAAAAGGAGAACAUUGCCACUACCCUGCAUUGCUUGACCCCCUUCCCAUCCCUGAUAUGGCUUGGAGGCACAUUUCCAUGGACUUUGUGGAGGGACUCCCAAGAUCACAAGGCAAGGAUGUGAUUUUGGUGGUAGUUGACAGAUUUACUAAAUAUUCUCAUUUUAUUUCCCUAGCACAUCCCUUCUCUGUCACCACUGUCUUACAGGCAUUCAUUGACAAUGUAUUCAAGUUACAUGGUAUGCCAGUGUCCAUGGUGACUGACAGGGACAUGAUAUUCACUAGUAACUUUUGGCAAGCAGUGUUCAAACCUCUGGGAGUUAAACUUAACAUGAGCACAACCCACCAUCCUCAGUCUGAUGGACAAACAGAGCGAGUCAAUCAAUGUAUGGAAGCAUAUCUUAGAAGCAUGGCUUUCACUGAACCAAAAAAGUGGUGCUCUUGGUUAUCUUUGGCAGAAUGGUGGUUUAACACCUCAUACCAUACUGCAACAAAGUUUACUCCUUUUCAAUGCCUUUAUGGUUUCCCCCCACCACAAAUUGGAGAGAUUUCUAUACCAGGACCUGAAGAUACUGAAGCACACUCAUUCUUGGAACAAAGAGAACUUGUACAGCAACAGUUAAAGCAUAACUUACUGGUAGCUCAGGAAAGAAUGAAGAAAUAUGCAGAUAGAAACAGAACAGGUAGACAAUUUCAAGAGGGAGACAUGGUGUACUUAAAAAUGCAACUGUACAGAUUGGCUGCAUUCAACAUCAGAUCAGGGCUCAAAUUAGCCACUAAAUUCUAUGGUCCUUACAGAAUAUUACAGAAAAUUGGAAAUUCCUCAUACAAACUACAGCUACCAGCUAGAGUGCAGAUACACAAUGUGUUUCAUUUCAGUCAACUCAAACGACACUUAGGGCCUAAUGCAGUUCCAGAUCCAGACUUGCCCUUGGUGGAUGCAACUGGUAAGGUUAAAAUAGCCCCCAUCUCGGUGCUGGAAACAAGAGCUGUACCCAGACAACCUCAUUUGGUCACACAAUGGCUAGUCCAGUGGCUGAACAUGUCGCCUGACGAAGCUACAUGGGAAGACGCCGAUUUUAUCAAAGUCACCUUCCCGAAGUUCUUCAACAGCACCAUUCAUUCGUGGUUUCCAAAUUCCGAUCCUCGAGGACAAGGAUCGUCUCCAGGAGAGGGCAGUUGUCAGGACCCUGACAAGUUGUUCCUGUUAACUGAAGAACGAGACACUAGCUCUGAAGAAAUGGAAUUCAGUCUCUGGGAAUCGGACGGCUCGGAUCAAUUGGGCUAAAUGACCGUUGCCGCCACCAGCUGGACAGUAAUAGUGACGGCAACGACUCCUUCCGUCCCACGCCUUCGUCACCUGCCUCCAGCGAUAAAAGGCCCAGCCAGCGUUCUGGAAAAGCAUCUUUCCCCUUUCUCCAAGUGUAAUAGCUAGCUACCUUAAGAACCCUAGAGUACUUGGUAGAAAUUGGGCAGAUCCUCGAUCUGAACCCCUGUAUCUGUAACUCUAAAUUUCGAGAUAAUAUCAAGCGGGGCUAGUUCGAGUAAUUGUUGAGUUGUUGCUGUGUUGAGGUCCUGUCAUGGACGAACCUUCAAAGGGAGUUCUUGUAGGAGGGGCGACAGUUGGUAAAAGAUCGAGAGAAGAUAAUUGUCGACCAUGGAAACACCAUGUUCAGGUUCGGACAUUGCCUCCACAGCAGCAGAUCCGGGUUCAUGGCAUCGGCAAUGGCUCCAGAUCUGUGGCGGCC